UUCUUGGUCUGGCGGUGGACACUGGGGCUCAGAGAAAAGGAAUCUUACACUGAGCUAAGGAAGCCUCAAGGUGGUGGGGGAGCGGUCGCCAUGGAAACCACGGUGCCGGGGGCGGGCCCGCGGCGUGUGGGUGGGGUCUGGCAGCGGCGGCUGGGUAGACGCCAAAGCAGCUUCUGGGGGCUUAGAGAGCACACGUGGAAAGGCCUCGACCUUUGGGUUCCUAUGGCUCGAAAGCGCUUGGCUGCUGCCCGGGACCCGAGAAUGAAAACAGAAAAUUGCUUCCCAGUCCAGAAUCUCCAAAUCCCCCAAGACCAUCAGAUUCACUUGGUUAGAAAUCCAGACUUCAGUUUCCCCCUCCUGGCCCACUAAGUCGAAGUCUCUGCGGUGAGGACCCAGAAUCUCCAUUUAACCAGGUUCUCUUUCCCAUCUGCAAGGCAUAUGGCAAUGGCAGACAUCCUGUGAUGCCUGAGGUUCAGCCAGGAGCAGCGUCUUCUACUCCUUUCUUAUUUGCAGAAUUAGAGGGGUCAGGAGCCUAGGCUGCUCAGUGAACAAGGGGCCAAGGGCCAUUUUAUGUCAGUCUCCCAGUCUGCAGCCACUACUGUAAACAGAAGUGCUGGCUAGAGUUGCUGGAGGCAGGACUCUGGGUCUGUGGCACCUCAGGCCUGAAAACAGACCACUGAAUUCCUUUCCUUGCCUGUGCUCUGGAGCCUGGACCCCUGAGGACUGCGGAGGAAGAACUCAACAGACUUCGCUCAGCCCCCAGGCCAUGCUUACAGCAUGUGGAAGUUGCCGGAUCAAAUCCACACCACAGCAGCCACCCAAGCCCCUGCCGUGACCACAGUGGAUCCUUAACCCACUGCACAAGAGAACUCCUCCCUACUCUUCUCUUUCACAGUACUGCUCCAGCCGAGAUGGACAGUCAAAGAGCAUGUCGAUCUCAUCAUCAUCAACUGGGGUAGGGAGCAGACUGGCACUUGGGUUGUAUGCCAGUUCGGAGAUGGUCAAGGGCUCCUCUUUUAUUUUAUCUUCCUCUUCA